rnacentral:tRNA from 1 species
GCGGGGGUGCCCGAGCCAGGACAAUGGGGGCUAGAUCCCGUCCUAAGGGGCGGGACUUAAGAUCCCGUGGGUGUAGGCCCGUCGUGGGUUCAAAUCCCACCCCCCGCACCA